CUGUGAUUGUGGUGUCAAAAUGUAAUGAAUCGGUCUAUUCUACCCAGAAAGCCCUACCAUUUCCCCGUCCCACCUGUUAAAAUCCCACCCAUUCUGCAGGAUCCAGCUCACACCCUAUCUCCACCAGGAAAUUGUCCUAGGUCCUCCCUGGAGAAUUCUUCUCCCUCCUUGUGGCUCCUGUUGCAGGUGUUUAUGUCUCUGCUCUGAUUGGAGCUGGCUUUUUAAAUCUAGUUAUUGUCGAUGUUGGUCUGCACAGCUUGACAUGAGGCUCGGAGGACAAAAAAACUGAAUGUCUUCCUUUCUGGACCCUCUGCUACUCCCAGGAGAGUGCCUGGCACAGCAGUAAUGCAAAUAAAAUAACAUUUAAGGGGUGGCCAAGUAACAGAGCUGUGCUUGGAAACAGAUCAAUGGGCAGAGAAGCUCUGUCGCCUGAGGAUGAAUCACGGAUGGCCAGCUGGCUGGCCUUCUUCAGGGCCAGAGAAAAGCCUACCAGGUCCUCUUUGGGGCCUCCCUGGACUAGGGGGACAUCAAGUUACUCCUGCCCACUUCUCCCACCCCACUUUCACUUCUAUUUGACAAUGAUUUUGAGACUUCCCUACAUUAGAAUUUUUAAUAUUUUUUCAUCUACAUGCUCAUCUUUAGUAAAUACAUAACUAGAUGGAUUGUGAAGUGAGGGAAUUAAAAAGUGCUAUCUUAUAUCGGAAUGAAUAAAUCAUUUAUAUUAGCUCUUCUGUUUCUAGGCUGGUCUGGAAUUGGCAACAAAUACCAAGCCAUCAGUACUGUCUGACAUGGAGUAUUCAUUUAUUUGUUGUUUUUUUUAAGUGCUCUGACAAGUUGUUUACUGUGAGCCAAAUGUCAAUUAGUAUUGGCCUGAAAAGGAGUUGCUGAGUUACACGUGUUUGUGUUUAGCUUCCCAGUCAUCCUGACUUUUUUGGCUUUUAUUUGCACAAGGUAUUUAUCUUCAAAGACUCACCAUCAGCACCACCACACACACAAAAAAAUCCUAUUUAAUAAUUUAACAUUUUCUUUAAACCACACCUUGUUGGCAACCCUAUCAUUUCAGCAUUAAAGUUUUUCUCCUGAUAAGGCAAAUGACACUUUAGCCUUAGUUAAUGUAAAACAGGAAGAUGUUAAUCUCAUUUUCAACGUGUCAGCUCUUCCAGGUAGGGUAUUAAUACACAAGAUCCCCUGCUGGCAGACUCAACAGAAUCUUUCCGGCUGUGAAGUGAAGUCCAAACCUGGAUGGGGACUUGAAAACUGUGAAAGGAAGGUAAGAAAGAUGAACCAAAAAAAUGUGAAACAAAGAAGGAAGAGUCACUGAGGAAUUUCAAGCUGUCAAGUUUAUCCAGAAAGAGAAGACAGGAAAAAAGUGAGAUAAGAUUUUUUUUCUCUUAUUCCUGUCCAAGUUAAUAACAUACAGUGCCUCUUUUUAUUCAUCUCCCGUCUGUACAUAUUUUCCCACACACCAUUCUAUAGUUAUAUAAUUCAUUUCCUUGCCCACUGGGUCAAUACUUUAUCAUGUUACCAGUCUCUUUUUCUAAUAGCUUUUAUACUCCUUGCCAGUGGGAGUGUACCCCCAGAAGAAGGGGAUGACAAAAGGAAGGGGGUGGCCAGGAGAGGCCUGGUAUGCAGGAUCAUUGUUAGCGCUACAUCUGGAUUGUUCCAUUUCCUCAGCGGAAAUUAUUAUGCAUCUCCCCCGAACCACGAGGCCAUGUUAGAUUCUGUGCUUAGCUUGUAUUUGGAACAUGGAUAGACUCACUGAAAAAUAUAACAAGAUUAAAUUCUAGCAUUGUUCAUUGCAACCAUAUAACAUGUUUUAUCUAUCACAUCUUAAAUCUCCUUGUGGAAAUGUAACAGAGUUAUAACCUAUAUAAUUUGUAUCAUUGACAUUUUGGUUUUCUUUGAAAACAAUUUAAUACAACUUUAAUUGAGGUUUUUAAGCCUCACAGGUUAGAAGGUUUAGGAUAAGAUGUGGAAAUAGUGGGAGAAAGUAACUUACCAAAGCUGUUAAAUGACUUCUAAGGAGUCACACAACUGGCUGAGCCUGAGAUAGAUUUGAACUUUGAUUCUAGACUCUGCAUCCUGCAUAUUGCCUUCCAACAGCAAUUCAGUCAGUGCUAUGUGCUAUAGAGAACUGCACUGAUAUUCCCUACAUAUGGGAUUUUUUUUUAAAAUAGGAUACAACCCAAACAAUUCUAGAAAAAAAAAUCAGAGCAUUGUUUGGAGGAAGAGAAAUUUCUAAGUGAAAAAAAAUCCCCCCAAAUCAAACAAAGAACUCUACCAUGCAUUUGUUACUAUGAAACAACACAAAAGAGACCUUAGUAAUAAGCAGUGGGCGAGGGAAAAGGGGGCCUUAUUUCUCUGCCUAUCAAAAUGAGCAAGAAUGUAGGUAGUCAAAGAAAAAUAUGGACACUAAGGUGGUUUCCUUGCACAAAGCUGCCAUUUCCCCAUAUUCUCCCAGUCAACCAACAAAUAUUGAGUACCCAUUUCCUGGCAGCACUGUAUUAGAAGCUUGAAAGUGAACAAAGCAGACAUAAUCCCCACCCUAUUGAAUUAACUAAUUUGGAUAACUGUUCUACUUUCAAAAUAUAAACUGCAUACUUAUGAACUAUUCAUAUUUCAGUAUGAAUUACUUUAGAUGAAUGUGAAUGUCUUGACUCUUCGUUUUAGGAGGAUGUUAAUUAACGAUAGCUCAAUUUUAUUAUUUAUGGUGAAGAUGCAGGGCAGUGAACAGAGGAAGGAGAGUAAAGAGUGAUAGGUAGUUUUAGAGCAUGGAGAGUAUUGAAAGGGCAUAUCAAUACUCUCCAGUGUAAACUUUGUGGCUACUUCGGGGUUCUAGAUAUCUAGAGAGACGUAGGUAAAAGGAUGAUGAGGGGAAGCUUUGUCUCCAUUUGCCUUAGGUAUUUCUUGACCCAGGAAUCUGUGACCUUAGGAACUUUAUUAAAGAAGUCUGGAUGUUAUCAACCUUGAGUGAUAUCUGCAAAAUAGCACCUUUAGUCAGCUGUCAUGGUGGUAGCUCUAGCCCCAGAAAAAUAAAAAGAAAGACUGUUGUAUGUUCUUACACUGACUAUAUCAUAAGCCAGAUAAUCGAUAAUUGAGGUGGGUUUGGAACAAUUUUCUUGACAUUUUCAACCAAAGUACCCCUUAACUGGUGGUACAGGAGGAUGUUUUAGGUAGUAAAACUCCAUCAACAGAAUUACACCAAUGGAAGCAGGGCACAGGAGGACUGUUGAGGGUAGCUCAAAAGCAGCAAGUCUUUAAAAUACAGUCAUACCUCAGUACUUAUCAGAUUCAGAACACAUCAAACCUUGUGCUCGUUGCAUUUUGAUGAGAAAAAAAUGUUAAAGCACUCAGCACCUGCUAAAACUUAUAUGAGUCACAAUGCCACCCCCCCCCAAGAGAAAAUGCUUCAUCGCUUGGUUUUCAUUGGUUUCAGGGCUCCUCUCAAGUUCCAGGAAGAAUUAACAGUGGGUACUGAGGUACAACUGUAUUGUGGUGCUUUCUUUGAAAUUUUAAGAUAUCGUUAUAUGUUAACCUUAUGAUAAGUCCAUGUUUGUUUUAUAAGAAAAUAUUGUUUCAAAUUACUUGUUAUUGAUAAAACAGACUCUCUGGGAAGAAAUAUCGUGAUUACUCCAUUAGCCUCAGUCAGCCUGUGCAUGACUGCAUGUGGGUGGGUAUAUCUAGAGGGUUUCACUGAGGAGGAUGCUAAAUGUGAGGUUUUAGUUGUCUGAGAAGUCACAACACCAGGAUUUAGUUGAACUGAGAACACUAUAAACUCAUUUGUAAGGCUGAUUGCCUUCCUCAGGAUUCCCAUCAGUUUCUGGGACCCCACGUUUCCAAGAUUUUUUCCAUGAUUGCCAGUGAUAUGGGUUCAAGUAGUCAGGAUAGGUAAAAAAUAUGGGGCCCAGGUCAAAAUAAAAGACCCAAAAAACCGGCAUGAAGCUCUGGGCAUUUGUGGAAAAUGGUCUGGGUGAAGCAUCCUCGCUAGCCUGUUCCCUUAUGGACUGUUGAUAGAGUUUUGCCAUCUAAAACUUUCUCUUUUACCACCACACAAAGCAGGCUGGGUGUGAGACAGGAGGGAGAAUAUAGAAUUCGGUCCAACUCUGUCAUUAUCUAGGUUCCUUCAUCCCAUCAAUGCUUAUUGAGUCUGUAGCUGACAUUGUUUGAGACUCUAGGGAUACAACAGUGAAGAAUGACAGGGUCAUGGUGGUAGCCAGAAUAUUAGCCCUCAAUAAUAUCCAUGCCCUAUUUUCUAAGAACCUGUAACUCUUACCUUACAAAGGGACUUUGAAAAUGUGAUUAAGGAUAUAGACCUUGAGAUGGCAGAUUAAUCAAUAUUAUCUAGGUGGAUGUAAUUUAAAAACAUGGGGUCCUUAAGAAAUCUGAGAACCUU